CCUACGGGGUGCAGCAGUGGGGGAUAUUGCACAAUGGGGGAAACCCUGAUGCCGCGACGCCGCGUGGGUGAAGAAGCGCCUCGGCGCGUAAAGCCCUGUCAGCAGGGAAGAAAAUGACGGUACCUGAAGAAGAAGCCCCGGCUAACUACGUGCCAGCAGCCGCGGUAAUAAGUAGGGGACAAGCGUUAUCCGGAUUUACUGGGUGUAAAGGGGGCGCAGACGGCGAUGCACGCCAGGAGUGAAAGCACGGGUCCCAACCCCGGGACUGCUCUUGGAACUGCGUGGCUAGAGUGCAGGAGGGGCAGGCGGAAUUCCUGGUGUAGCGGUGAAAUGCGUAGAUAUCAGGAGGAACACCGGUGGUGAAGGCGGCCUGCUGGACUGCAACUGACGUUGAGGCCCGAAAGCGUGGGGAGCAAACAGGAUUAGAUACCCGAGUAGUC
rnacentral:rRNA from 1 species